UACGUAGGGGGCGAGCGUUGUCCGGAAUUAUUGGGCGUAAAGAGCGUGUAGGCGGUUCGGUAAGUCUGUCGUGAAAUCCUGGGGCUCAACCCCGGGCGUGCGAUGGAUACUGCCGGGCUAGAGGGUGGUAGAGGCGAGUGGAAUUCCCGGUGUAGCGGUGAAAUGCGCAGAUAUCAGGAGGAACACCUAUUGCGAAGGCAGCUCGCUGGGACGUAACUGACGCUGAGACGCGAAAGCGUGGGGAGCAAACAGG
rnacentral:rRNA from 1 species